GCCCGGCAAGCCGGAAGUUGCAAUGGGGCAGCCGGACGCAAAACGCGGGGACACCGGCCGGGGUCCGCCAAGCUAGGGUGAGCUGCCGAUCGGGGACGCGAACGGGAGCGCGCAGGUGAGGGCGGCGGGGCGGGGCUGGGGCGGGGGCGGGGCCACUGAGGCUGCGGCCAAUCACCGGCGCCUCCCGUGGGCGGGGCGGGGCCGUUGCUUGGGCGACAGGCUCCAGCGUCUGCGUUCUGUGAACCUAGCCGCUGGGCUGUGCGGACAGGUUCGCGUGGGGCUCCUGGGCCUCCCGCAGCCGCGGGUUGCUGUUGCCACAUGGCGACUGUGGUCACCGUCUCUCCUGGACCUGCCUAGAUCCAAAAGCCAGCCCUGGAAGGAACACCUCUCAUUCUCAAGAAGAAGUUAAUGUCUGCCUUACAGUAGAUGUCCAAUAAAUCUUCUUUGAACAAUUAA
rnacentral:lncRNA from 1 species